rnacentral:rRNA from 1 species
CUGGCUCAGGAUGAACGCUAGCUACAGGCUUAACACAUGCAAGUCGAGGGGCAGCAGGACGAUAGCUUGCUAUGUUGCUGGCGACCGGCGCACGGGUGAGUAACGCGUAUCCAACCUUCCCCUUAGUAGGGCAUAGCCCGGUGAAAAUCGGAUUAAUACCCUAUGUUGUGUCAUGAGGACAUCUGAAUAACACUAAAGAUUUAUCGCUAAGGGAUGGGGAUGCGUCCGAUUAGGUAGUCGGCGGGGUAACGGCCCACCGAGCCCUCGAUCGGUAGGGGUUCUGAGAGGAAGGUCCCCCACACUGGUACUGAGACACGGACCAGACUCCUACGGGAGGCAGCAGUGAGGAAUAUUGGUCAAUGGGCGCGAGCCUGAACCAGCCAAGUAAGCGUGCAGGAUGACGGCCCUAUGGGUUGUAAACUGCUUUUAUACGGGGAUAAAGUGAGGGACGUGUCCCUUAUUGUAGGUACCGUAUGAAUAAGGACCGGCUAAUUCCGUGCCAGCCGCCGC